rnacentral:rRNA from 1 species
GUCGAACGCUGGCGGCGUGCUUAACACAUGCAAGUCGAACGGUGAAGGGGUCUGCUUUUGUGGGCCCUGGAUGAGUGGCGAACGGGUGAGUAACACGUGAGUAACCUGCCCCCUUCUUCUGGAGAACCGCAUGAAAGUGUGGCUAAUACGGGAUAUUCUGGGUCUGUCGCAUGAUGGGUCUGGGAAAGAUUGCGCCUUUGGGUGUUUUUGGUGGGGGAUGGGCUCGCGGCCUAUCAGCUUGUUGGUGGGGUGAUGGCCUACCAAGGCGGUGACGGGUAGCCGGCCUGAGAGGGUGGACGGUCACACUGGGACUGAGACACGGCCCAGACUCCUACGGGAGGCAGCAGUGGGGAAUAUUGCACAAUGGGCGCAAGCCUGAUGCAGCGACGCCGCGUGAGGGAUGGAGGCCUUCGGGUUGUAAACCUCUUUCGCCAGUGAAGCAGGCCUGCUCCUUGUGGGUGGGUUGACGGUAGCUGGAUAAGAAGCGCCGGCUAACUACGUG